rnacentral:rRNA from 1 species
GAGUUUGAUCAUGGCUCAGGAUGAACGCUAGCGGCAGGCUUAACACAUGCAAGUCGAGGGGUAGUAUAGCAAUAUAUGAGACCGGCGCACGGGUGCGUAACGCGUAUGCAAUCUACCUUUUACAGGGGAAUAGCCCAGAGAAAUUUGGAUUAAUGCCCCAUGGUAUAAUUGAUUGGCAUCAAUUAAUUAUUAAAGUUCCAACGGUAAAAGAUGAGCAUGCGUCCCAUUAGCUAGUUGGUAUGGUAACGGCAUACCAAGGCGAUGAUGGGUAGGGGUCCUGAGAGGGAGAUCCCCCACACUGGUACUGAGACACGGACCAGACUCCUACGGGAGGCAGCAGAGAGGAAUAUUGGACAAUG